GAUGAAGAACGCAGCGAAAUGCGAUACGUAAUGUGAAUUGCAGAAUUCAGUGAAUCAUCGAGUCUUUGAACGCACAUUGCGCCCCCUGGUAUUCCGGGGGGCAUGCCUGUCCGAGCGUCGUUUCAACCCUCGAGCCCCCGUGGCCCGGCGUUGGGGAUCUGCCCAGGCAGUCCCCGAAAACCAGUGGCGGACCCGUUACAGGCCCUUCCCUUGCGUAGUAGCAUUCGCCUCGCAUCGGGAGCCGGCGGGCUUCCAGCCUCUAAACCCCCAUCAAGUCCGCCCCGGCGGCACCAAGGUUGACCUCGGAUCAGGUAGGAAUACCCGCUGAACUUAAGCAUAUCAAUAAGCGGAGGA
rnacentral:misc_RNA from 1 species